GAUGAAGAACGUAGCGAAAUGCGAUAAGUAAUGUGAAUUGCAGAAUUCAGUGAAUCAUCGAAUCUUUGAACGCACAUUGCGCCCGCCAGUAUUCUGGCGGGCAUGCCUGUCUGAGCGUCAUUUCAACCCUCAUGCCCCUAGGGCGUGGUGUUGGGGAUCGGCCAAAGCCCGCGAGGGACGGCCGGCCCCUAAAUCUAGUGGCGGACCCGUCGUGGCCUCCUCUGCGAAGUAGUGAUAUUCCGCAUCGGAGAGCGAUGAGCCCCUGCCGUUACACCCCCAACUUUCCAAGGUUGACCUCAGAUCAGGUAGGAAUACCCGCUGAACUUAAGCAUAUCAAUAAGCGGAGGA
rnacentral:misc_RNA from 1 species